rnacentral:rRNA from 1 species
AGUGAACGCUGGCGGUAGGCCUAACACAUGCAAGUCGAACGGCAGCACAGUAAGAGCUUGCUCUUACGGGUGGCGAGUGGCGGACGGGUGAGGAAUACAUCGGAAUCUACUUUUUCGUGGGGGAUAACGUAGGGAAACUUACGCUAAUACCGCAUACGACCUACGGGUGAAAGCAGGGGAUCUUCGGACCUUGCGCGAUUGAAUGAGCCGAUGUCGGAUUAGCUAGUUGGCGGGGUAAAGGCCCACCAAGGCGACGAUCCGUAGCUGGUCUGAGAGGAUGAUCGGCCACAUGGGAACGUAGACACGGGCCAGACUCCUACGGGGGGCAGCAGGGGGGAAUAUUGGAAAAGGGGCGCAAGCCUGAACCAGCCAUACCGGGGGGGUGAAGAAGGCCUUCGGGUUGUAAAGCCCUUUUGUUGGGAAAAAAAAGCAGCAGGUUAAUCCCCCGCUGUUCUGGCGGUACCAAAAGAAUAAGCACCGGCUAACUUCGU